GAACAGGACUCAUCACUCUGUGUGAAGGGCCAGCCCCGUGCAAGUGCUUCUAUUUCAGUCAUGAUUUCUUUAAACCUGGAAUUAAAAUGAUAAUAAUAAUAAUAAUUUGAAGUACUAUUAUGACUAUACUUAUAGGAAGAAAUAUUCAAUUUUAGAAUAUUGAAUGGUAUGAAUCAUGUGUCAUGUUCAGAAAAGCUCUGCCUUAAAGAACUUAAAGGCAGAUUGUCUGUUAUUGAGCAAGAGUAACUUGUUGUUGGAAUGUAAAUUGAACCAUUGAAUGCACCGUUUUGAUUGUUAAAACUUAUGGUUAUUUCUAAUAUCACCCUUCAGAAGGGAUCUAUUCAAGUUAAACACCAUAGUUAUAAUGAAGUCUUUCUCUGGCAUUAACUGAAAAUCCUGUAUAGGUUCAUAACUGAAGCAAAUCGCCAAUAAUUCAAUUUUAUCAAGCUUCCAAAUAAUUUGUUUUAUCUUCAUAAUGAUUUCACAGGCCGACUCCCAACCUAAGUUGUAAAUAACAUUCAAUAAAGCAGUAUAGUUUUUAGACUUUCUUUUAACUAAGAGUAAAAUACUCAUAGAUCUUUCUAUUAGAUUUUAUAAAACUUCCAAAGCCUCAAUCUCUGAAGAGUUUGAACUUUCUGAUUCUCGUCCUUUUUAAUACAGUAAGUUUUUGUUCUCGUUCUUGAGUAAAAUGCUUUCAGCUACUGUCCAGCCUUCCAACGGGAAACUCGGGUGCCUGAACCACUGGCUUUUCUAAUGUUCUCUGAUCUAACUUAGUGCAGAGAGGCUGUCUGCCUCCUCUCUCUCUCUCUCUCUCUCUCUCUCUCUCUCUCUCUCUCUCUCUCUCUCUCUCUCUCUGUUUUCCAAGUGCUCUUGCUGGGAGGAUCAGCUCUCUGUCCAACCUCCAACUCACAACAAACUGCUGUAUAAAUCACAAAUGUGCCAUCUGAACUCUUAACUCCGAGGUUGGCUUCAAGCUCAAGGUAUACAGAACAGCCAUCUGGUGGUGCUCUGGUUGAAAGGUCCUAAUAGAACGCCACCUAAGGGACCAGCAAGGUGGCCCUGAGGGUGAAUGGCACUUGCCAUCCACCUGAGGUCCUGAGCUUGCUCUUCAGGAUCCACACAGUGGAAGGAGAGAACCAACUCCCGUCAGUUGUCCUCUGAAGGGUGCCACAGAGUGAGCACCUACAUCAGACGCGCACAAAGUAAUUAAUGUAGAUUUUAAAUCAUAGAAAAAAUAACCACACACACACACACCCAAGAAUGUAACACCUCAGAACACAAUUGUGUUCUCUCAUUACACAAUUUGAUCUGGUUUUGAAUAUCAGAAUUCUCAAUGAGAUAAACUGUGGUGUACAUGAGAUUCCUCGAAUUGCCCACCCAGCCCUUCCUUGCUGCUACAAUGAGCUCUGACAGUCUCCGUGGUGUCCUAAGCAGCAAGCAGACUUUUUCAGGCUCUUUUGGAAAUGUCCCUGCCUCAGGGAGGUUGUUCAUUUUGAUCACAGGCCCCACUCUGAAGGGUCUGAAACAUGGACUCUUCCUUGGGUUUCAUAAACAAAAGAAGUCCAGUUUCUUUCAGUACGCUGGUUUAUGGCUUUAAUUUAUCUCACUCUCUAAUCCAGUUUUCAUACCAAAUACUGAUCAACGGUAUUGGCAUUUCAGCAGUAACACUUAUGGAUCAUCAAUACAAAAGUCCAUUAACACUUCUCAUGCAAACCUUGUUGAUGUCACUUCAGUUUUUCAUAAAGUAAAUUAAGUCUACCUUAAAGAGUUUACACUGGGGCAGAAUCUUCAAGAAUGUCAUACUCAAGUGAACAAAAUGGCUACCACUGAGGAAACUUCUAGAAGAGUCGAUGGGAUGUUUGCACCUUUUCUGUUUAGAGACAUGGUAAGAAGUCCCAGUCUUACCUAGAGCUGCCAUGAGUUUUCAGAUUUAGCUCUCAGUCUUCUGAUAUCAGCCUCCCACACAAGUAUCUGCUCCCAUCCAGUCCCCUUCCCAAAGUCGCCCACUAAUAAAGAUGGCAUUCUUAGGAUUAUCUGAGGGAGAGAGAAGAGAGUCUCCCUCUGCCCACAAGGAAUUAUUUUUUAAUCAGAAGGGUAUAUAACAUUGGACAGCUUUUAUUGACCAGAUAGCAGCCACUAUGUAUUUAGGGUUUGGUUUGGUUUUUGAGCCAAACCUAGGCUGACCUUAAACUUGAGAGCCUCUUGCCCCGGCUUCCUGGACACUGGAUUACAGGUGUUUACUGCACACCUGGCCUGCGUGGUUUAUAGUUAGAUUCGUUUGUGUCUUCGGUCCCCUGCCACACUGCUCUUUGGGGUUGACACCCCAUGCCUUAUGUGCUUGCUGGUGUUUGGUUUGCAUUUGUUUACUAUGUUCAUGUGCAUUCAGAUUGUCAAGUGCUGGCAAACUUCUUGGACUGCCGAGAAAAAGGACUGAUCGUUGAUUUGUCAGAAUACAUGUUCAUGAAAGGAAACGUCUUAGUGUUAUCUCGCUGUGUGGUGUAUAGGAACAAAAAUAAAUAAAGUCAUUUUUGUAAC
rnacentral:lncRNA from 1 species